GGUUAAAAAGCUCGUAGUUGGAUUUCUGUUGAGGACGACCGGUCCGCACUAUGUGCGUGUAUCUGGUUCGGCCUUGGCAUCCUCCUGGGGAACGGUGCUGCGCUUGAUUGCGUGGUCCGGUAUUCAGGACUUUUACUUUGAGGAAAUUAGAGUGUUUACGGCAGGCAAUCGCCUUGAAUACAUUAGCAUGGAAUAAUAACAUAGGACCUUGGUUCUAUUUUGUUGGUUUCUAGAACUAAGGUAAUGAUUAAUAGGGAUAAUUGGAGGCAUUCGUAUUAACACGUCAGAGGUGAAAUUCUUGGAUUGUGUUACGACGAACUACUGCGAAAGCAUUUGCCAAGGAUGUUUUCAUUGAUCAAGAACGAAGGUGCGGGGAUCGAAGACGAUUAGAUACCGUCGUAGUCUGCACCAUAAACUAUGCCAACUAGAGAUUGGAGGUCGUUCUUUUUAUGACUCCUUCAGCACCUUAUGAGAAAUCAAAGUCUUUGGGUUCCGGGGGGAGUAUGGUCGCAAGGCUGAAACUUAAAGGAAUUGACGGAAGGGCACCGCCAGGAGUGGAGCCUGCGGCUUAAUUAGACUCAACACGGGAAAACUUACCAGGUCCAGACAUAAGUAAGGAUUGACAGAUUGAUAGCUCUUUCUUGAUUCUAUGGGGUGGUGGUGCA
rnacentral:rRNA from 1 species